GGACGAACGCUGGCGGCGUGCCUAAUACAUGCAAGUCGAACGAACGGAUAAAGAGCUUGCUCUUUUGAAGUUAGUGGCGGACGGGUGAGUAACACGUGGGUAACCUGCCUCACAGCUGGGGAUAACAUCGAGAAAUCGAUGCUAAUACCGAAUGUGCUGAACAUCAUAAGAUGUUCAAGUGAAAGACGGUUUCGGCUGUCACUGUGAGAUGGACCCGCGCUGGAUUAGCUAGUUGGUAAGGUAAUGGCUUACCAAGGCGACGAUCCAUAGCCGACCUGAGAGGGUGAUCGGCCACAUUGGGACUGAGACACGGCCCAAACUCCUACGGGAGGCAGCAGUAGGGAAUCUUCGGCAAUGGACGAAAGUCUGACCGAGCAACGCCGCGUGAGCGAAGAAGGCCUUCGGGUCGUAAAGCUCUGUUGUUAGAGAAGAACAUGGGUGAGAGUAACUGUUCACCCCUUGACGGUAUCUAACCAGAAAGCCACGGCUAACUACGUG
rnacentral:rRNA from 1 species